AAUGUAAUUGUAUCAUAAUUUAAAAUUGGUAAGAUGGGAAAAGCAUACUAAGUGCUAACUCUAAAAAAUAAAUUAUAAUAAAAAUAACUCUAUUGUUAAUGAACUUGACUUUGUAAAAAAAAAAAGUUACUUUCCAGAUACAAAAUCAAAACCUCUUUUUUUAGCUAAGAAAUUUUAUCACUAAUGUAUACGGAUUUGGGUACAAUGAAAUAAAUAAUGUCAGAAUCACUGAAAAGAAGUCCAUAUUAAACUAAAAAGGAGUCCAAAUACACUUGAAUUAUAUAAUCUAUAAAACAAAAUAUUACAGCAAUUCUUUAUCUUAAAUAAUUAAAAAUGUUCCUGGGAUACUGGGAACAGAAAUCUAAAUACUAUCAGUUCAUCCUACAAAGAACAUAAGAACUUCCAAGAUACACUAAAUUAUAUUAAAAUCAUAUGCCACCACUAAAAACACUGGGGAAUUACAUAAUUUUAAAGUAACAGAGAAAGUGGAAAUACAAACAGAAAUUUGAGCUUAAGGGGGUACAUUGUCUAAAUUGAAAAAUAUAGUAUUAUAGAGGGUUUCAUAAGGUCUACAGUCUUAAAACAUGGGACUGCAAAUGUAAAAGAAAUGGAAAAGAUACCUAAAAUUGCAGUUUAGUGUUUUUACCUAGUUUACUCUUUUGUAAGAAAUUAAUAUGGACCAAAGGCUCAAGGUUCUGUAAAAUCAAGAUAGGAUAUGGAUCUUUGUGAACUGUAAAAUCAAAUGAUUUACUCUAAGGACCCUUUUGAAAAGUAAAGCUAGACUACAGUAUAACAUGAGCCCAGGAAAAUAGUCUGUAUAAUAAAUAUUUCUGAUAAUUUAAAAAUUGUAACUGAAAAAGUUUGAAAUUUUCUUCUUUCCCUUGAAAUAGCAAGUCCCCAGUACCAACAAGCUUUGACCAGAGAAGCUGUCUUCCACAAUUGUGCUAUUUAAUUUGUCCAGAAAAGCAAAUAUCCUACACCUGAAAGCAGAUUUGUAUAAUGCAUCAUCAUCAUAACAUCUAGCUACAGACCAACAGCUUUCUCAUAACCAACAAGGGACCCAUUUUCUCUGGCUUAUUGAAACUUCAUUAGUGAAGAUCAACUUCAUUGUCCUUAGCAAACAGCGCUCAUUUAAGACUCCAUUUUAGUAUCUUUCCCUACCUCCAAUAAAAAUUUCUCCCACUUUACCUUCAAAUCAUUCCCUUAUAGAACUCUCACACUCCCAUUCAUGAACACAUUAAACAGUUCUUCCCUUUCUGCUCUCAAAUUUCCAAACCAGUAAAUAUCAGCCCCCAGUAACUUACCUAAAAUACACAUACUUCUUACUCUCUUCAAUACACAAAUUUCUUAACAAUUUCACCGCUCUUCUGAUUGCCAACUUAAGACUAUGGGGAAAAUAGCAGUCAGAAAAACUGCCCAAUUAGCUCAUUAUACAGAAAUCUUUCUGAGAUCGGUUAGCCAUGUGCUAAGGCAGGAGCCAGCAAUUUCUUCACUUUCCCUUUAAAGGGGUAAGUUUGAGUGUCACUGGCAGGCCUAUGGCAAGAAGAAUAAAGAUGGAGAGAGAAACAAGGAAAAAGGAGGAUGGGAGGGGAAAAAAAAAAGCCAAAUGUAUAUGGUAGGAAGGUAGGUCAAAUGCCACCAACAACUACCUACGCUGGAAACUGCCAAUCCACUCCAGCUGAAUGAGAGCUUGACCCAAUACCAACAUGUGUCCAAUAAUUCAUUAGCUGAUACUCCUAACUGGUUGAGCUAGUCAAGGUGAAUACAUUAAGUCAUCUGUCCCAUAAGUUUGCUACUUCACAAUAAGGACAUCUUAAGUCCUCUGAGGAUCCUUCUGUUUUAAUCCAGUUUAGACUAAAACAGAUGUUAAAAAGAGUACUUCCAUGAUUCUCAAAACUCCAGAAUAUAAAGAUUUGGUCCUUGAACUUGGAGGCCUCUUGAAUUAUUAAAGUGCACCCGAAAUCAAGACAAUUAAAUUCUUAGCUAAAGUUUUCCCCAUGAAAUGCUAUAAAAUUUUAAUCAAUAAGAAAAUUGUUAAUAAUCAUCAAAACAAAGUAUGCUUUCAUGAAAAAUUCAAAAAUCUUGCAAUUCCAAAAUGAGUAAAAUAUAUCUGGUCCUUAAAAAUGAACUUUAUUUUACAUCGAAGAUCACCACCAUGUUUCUACCUAUCAAACAAGACAAUUUUCCACAAAAGCAAAGCACAUCAGGGGAAAAAAGAAAAGAAAAAUACAAAUACCAAACGUAAUGUAGGGACAAAAUAAAAAUACAUGAGUAACUAUGAAAUUUUUUAAAGAAAAGGAUUUCUAACAAAUGACCAUACUCAAGCUUUCCUAAAGACAUAAAUUACCUAGACCAUUCAACAUCAAAACUUGGUAGUCAAUUUAGCAGCUGUAAGAUGACAAAUUGUUGGCUUAAAACCAUUAUCUUUUACUAUUCUCUUGGCUGUUUUUCCAUUAUGAAAUUCUACCUGACAUGAUAAUGCUAGUUUAGAUGAUCUUCACUUAACCCAUAAUAAAGAAAUUUCUCUUUGAAAAGAGUCUAUCAAAUGGCCUAGGCCUUAAAUUUAGGUUUUUAGGAUCAAAUAACUCCCUAAAUAUUAAAAUCAACUUUUCUUAAAAAUAUAUUGCAAAUUCUCUAUGGUAAUUAAAGCAGCUAGAUGGAAACAGUAAUUAUAAUAGCAGUGAUCAUUUUAGUUUAAUAGUGUACCUUAUUACAAAUGGUUUAAAUUCAGUUAAUUUGCAAUUAAAAACCCAGAAAUAUUAUACAUACAUUAUAAUAAUAAUGUAUGAUUUAAACAUGGAUACAUUUUAACAGAAAACUUUGCAUAAAUCAGUGAAUUUUCUCACUUAAGUGAUUCCAAUAAAUUCUUUCUUAUUCAUUCCACUCCCAUGAAAAAGUAUGUAUCUCUCCAAAUUAUUAAAAUAUUCAAAUUUAAGGAUAACCAACUAUAAAAUUUAUACUCAGAGUUAUCACCAAUUGUUCUAUACCUAAGUUGCUAAAAAUUCCCUUUUUUAGCAUCCUUUUACGUAGAAAGCAGGAUCUCAUUCUGAUAUUGAAAAAACUCAGAAAAGGGAAAAAAAGUCAUUAGAUUUGGUAUCUUAUUUUUUUAAUGGAGAAAAAUAUUAAAAGUAUGUUCACAUGUAAAAUAAAAUGAAUUGUGGAGCUAUGAAAACAACUACAGCAACAACUUCAGAAAUCUCCAUUCUAAAAUCACCUGGAAGCGUGUGUGCAUGCGUGUGAAAUAUGAAAAACUGAGUGGGAAUAUUGAAGAAGAAAGGGUGAACCAUACAUGGGAGAUAGAAGUAAUAAUCAUGCCCAUGGUGAGCUCACCAUGGCUGGCAUAUAACCCAAAAUGUCAUAAAAGAAAAAUAUGUUUAGAAAGCUUCAACAGUGCCCAAUGCAAAAUGUUAAAGCACAGAAACAAUGAAUGAGAUAACCCUCACAAACAUCAAAUUCCGUAUGAAAAUAGGAAGUAAAAAAACUGACAUGCAUCUUUUCAAUACCAAAUCUUAACUGACUCAAAGAUUAUAUAAAGUGUUUGGGGCCAUGGUACCCACCCAGAUUCUCAUUAUCAACGGACUUAUCUUUUCCCCUCCCUUCCACCCAAAUUUAGUACAGUGUUCCUGCAGAAAAAGUAUAGCAUUCCUAUAUUAAUAAGAGUAAGAAAUGAAAACAGUGAGUACAACUGAUAUAGAUCCAUUGACUUUUAUUACAAAUGUACUUGAUCACUUGGCUUCAAAAAGUUUAAAAUCAAUACCCUAUUUUCUGUAUGCCAGUACAAAGCAAACUUUUACAAAUUAAAUACCUAAAAAUUUGACAAAAAUAUUAAAAUUUGAUGAAAAACAAUUAUAAAAAUCCUUAAUCUUUCUCUCUUCAAAAAGGAGGCAGUCUUCCCAGUCCUAUUAUACAAUAUUAAUAAUAUUCACCAUUUUUAGAAUAGGUAGCUAAAUUAUACUUUUCUGUUAGCAUACAAAACUCUUAGACUAAUAGAUUUCAUUUGUAUAUGCUCCAGUUAAGUUUGUGAAUGCCAUCUGAUUGCAAUAUAAUCAACUAUCUUUAAUUGAGUCCUAAUUUACACUUAUUUAAUAAUUUGCAUAGUUUAAAAGGGAUAAAGGUUAUUCUACAACUAAUUAUCAUAGGCUAUUACAGUGCUAUUUUUCAAGGCAAUAAGUAUUUGCUCCCAAAUGAAAUUAUCUGUCUUCUUUAGGCAGGGGUUAAAAUUACUAGCAGCUUUCUCCAUUACCCGAAAAAUCAAAUUGGAAUAGUUAUCCUUCUCUAGAUGUGAAGACCUAAAAAACAGAUUGAUAUAUUUUCCACUUUGAGUCAAAUUUCAACCCCUGCAUGGGACUAGAAAGUGAGACUUUCAAGGUUUUUAUUUCCCUGUUGGUUUUGGUUUCUACUCUCCAUGGCUUUUAGGAAGCUGGGAAAGUUUGUCUUUCCUGACUCACAUUGUCUCUCCUUUCCAUUUGGCAAAUAUUCAUCUACCUUCAAUCUGUAUCUAGUAAAGGAAAAGCCGACAUGGCUUUUCUUAUGAACUUCCUUUGUUGUCAAAGGCAUGUAUGAUUUCUACAGUUCUGGUUAGUUAACUUUAGCUCCCUCUGUGGCUGGAUGACUGCUGCUUCUAACAUCAGCAUGAUAAAUAGGAGGCACAAAUAAAAAGUAGCUUAAAAAAAAGAUUUGGUGAUUUAAAAAGAAAAAAAAAAAAAAGAACAACACCAAACACACACACAUAUAUGGGCAUUUCAAAUCUGGUGGCUGAUCUCUGGAUUAAAUUACUUGACAGUGUCUCUCAUUGUAAAGAACGUCAAUAUUGCAAUGCAUUUCAAGUUUUCUGUUAUACUUAGGCAAAUAAUAUAGUUUAACCAAGCUCUUGGACCUUAAUCGUAAGACAAAGCAGAUCAUUAAAAAUAAGGCAUACAUAUCAGGAAUUAAGUUUUGUUUGCUUGUUUUUGGCACAUUUGAUCAUACUGUCUUCUAUGAAUAACACAUAUGGUCAAAUAUACCGUUUCCUUUUUCAUUUCAGCACAAACAGGGUUUUACCAACUAGUAAAAUAAAAACAAGGAAAAACUCCAACAUAAAACACUGAUAUAGAACCUUGGUAAUGUACCGAGCACCUGGGAGGAUGGGUAGGGAAAGGAUGAAACAGUAUAGGAAAGGGAAGGCUGGGAGGGUGCUUGGGGAGGUAAAGUGAGAUGCAAAAAAGAGCAUCUUUAUACAGUCACUUAGUCUUUUCUAAGAUCACCUCUUAAGUCUUAAAAGAUUUGCAUGUGGAUUUCUUUUUAAACCCACUGACCAUAAAUCAGACACUGGUUCCAAAAUCUUAGUAAGAUUGUGUUUAACUGUUAUAGUGUAAAGACAAUUGCACAAUACAUGUGCUUAUUGAUCCGGUAGGAUUCCAAGCAGAAUCUGAAGUCUGUAGGUAAGAAAGGCUUCACUUUAGGUAACUAUGACCCUAAAGAAAACCUCAUGAAAGAACUCGCAUCUCAAAGAAAGGACACUUUGCCUAAGUUUGCUGUGUUUUUGUUGACUUGCACUACUUAUUGCUGGCUACUAUGAAACACUGAUCUAGGAG
rnacentral:lncRNA from 1 species